rnacentral:rRNA from 1 species
AUUGAACGCUGGCGGCAUGCCUUACACAUGCAAGUCGAACGGUAACAGGUCUUCGGAUGCUGACGAGUGGCGAACGGGCGAGUAAUACAUCGGAACGUGCCUAGUAGUGGGGGAUAACUACUCGAAAGAGUGGCUAAUACCGCAUGAGAUCUACGGAUGAAAGCAGGGGAUCGCAAGACCUUGUGCUACUAGAGCGGCCGAUGGCAGAUUAGGUAGUUGGUGGGAUAAAAGCUUACCAAGCCGACGAUCUGUAGCUGGUCUGAGAGGACGAUCAGCCACACUGGGACUGAGAACCGGCCCAGACUCCUACGGGAGGCAGCAGUGGGGAAUUUUGGACAAUGGGCGAAAGCCUGAUCCAGCAAUGCCGCGUGCAGGAUGAAGGCCUUCGGGUUGUAAACUGCUUUUGUACGGAACGAAAAGCCCCGGGUUAAUACCCUGGGGUCAUGACGGUACCGUAAGAAUAAGCACCGGCUAACUACGUGCCAGCCGCCGCCGUAA